rnacentral:rRNA from 1 species
UAGGGAAUCUUUCCACAAUGGGCGAAAGCCUGAUGGAGCAACGCCGCGUGUGUGAUGAAGGGUUUCGGCUCGUAAACACUGUUGUAAGAGAAGAAUGACAUUGAGAGUAACUGUUCAAUGUGUGACGGUAUCUUACCAGAAAGGAACGGCUAAAUACGUGCUAG